AUUGAACGCUGGCGGCAGGCCUAACACAUGCAAGUCGAGCGGAGCGGCGGACGGGUGAGUAAUGCCUAGGAAUCUGCCUGGUAGUGGGGAAUAACGUCCGGAAGCGGGCGCCAAUACCGAAUACUAUCAGAUGAGCCUAGGUCUGAUUAGCUAGUUGGUGGGGUAAAGUCAUACCAAGGCGAAGAUCCGUAACUGGUCUGAGAGGAUGAUCAUUCACACUGGAACUCAGACACGGUCCAGCCUCCUCCGGGAGGCAGCAGUGGGGAAUUUUGGACAAUGUGCGAAAGCCUGAUCCGGCCAUGCCGCGUGUGUGAAGAAGGUCUUCGGAUUGUAAAGCACUUUAAGUUGGGAGGCGUUACCAACAGAAUAAGCACCGGCUAACUUCGUGCCAGCAGCCGCGGUAAUAC
rnacentral:rRNA from 1 species